rnacentral:rRNA from 1 species
UACGGAGGAUCCGAGCGUUAUCCGGAUUUAUUGGGUUUAAAGGGUGCGCAGGCGGGAGAUUAAGUCGGCGGUGAAAUUUUGCAGCUCAACUGUAAAAGUGCCUUCGAAACUGGUUUCCUUGAGUGUAGAUGAAGUAGGCGGAACUUGUGGUGUAGCGGUGAAAUGCAUAGAUAUCACGAGGAACUCCGAUUGCGCAGGCAGCUUACUAAACUACUACUGACGCUCAGGCACGAAGGCGUGGGGAUCAAACAGGAUUAGAUACCCUGGUA